rnacentral:rRNA from 1 species
AUUGAACGCUGGCGGCGUGCCUAAUACAUGCAAGUCGAGCGCAGGAAGCCAUCUGAACCCUUCGGGGGGACGACGGUGGAAUGAGCGGCGGACGGGUGAGUAACACGUAAAGAACCUGCCCAUAGGUCUGGGAUAACCACGAGAAAUCGGGGCUAAUACCGGAUGUGUCAUCGGACCGCAUGGUCCGCUGAUGAAAGGCGCUCCGGCGUCGCCCAUGGAUGGCUUUGCGGUGCAUUAGCUAGUUGGUGGGGUAACGGCCCACCAAGGCGACGAUGCAUAGCCGACCUGGGAGGGUGAUCGGCCACACUGGGACUGAGACACGGCCCAGACUCCUACGGGAGGCAGCAGUAGGGAAUCUUCCACAAUGGACGAAAGUCUGAUGGAGCAACGCCGCGUGAACGAUGAAGGCUUUCGGGUCGUAAAGUUCUGUUGUAAGGGAAGAACAAGUGCCGCAGGCAAUGGCGGCACCUUGACGGUACCUUGCGAGAAAGCCACGGCUAACUACGUGCCAGCCGCCGCGGUAA